UUAGCUCAGUCGGUAGAGCAUCAGACUCUUAAUCUGAGGGUCACGGGUUCGAGAUGACUGUUCGACCUCCCCGUA
rfam:Monosiga brevicollis MX1 MONBRscaffold_26 genomic scaffold, whole genome shotgun sequence.